UCUAUUUAAAAUUCAAGCUCUGUGGCAAAUUUCAAGAAGUGAAACCUGCAUUUUCAAAGAAUAGUUUGAAUGUCAAUUAGAUCAGCAUCAUAAAGCUUAGCAACAGAUUAUUUCAUCAAUAUGUUCAAAAGAAAUAACUAUUUUUCAAAAGUUUAUAGCAAUUAAACUCAGAACAACUCAAAAGAACUAAUAUCUUUGUUUCUAUACUAACCAAGAUUCUAAUUGACCAAGAUUCUAACCAAAAAAAAAAAAGGUCAUAGUUUUAUACUACCAAAGUGAUUACCUUUAGAGAUUGUACUUCUUAAAUUGGUUGGCUUAUGCUUGCAUCUCCAUAGCUACUCUUAACCCCAUGUGGAGGAGAUACACCUUCUGUCAAAAGACCACCAGUAGAAAAUAAAAUAAAUAUCAAUGACAAUAAUAAAGGAAAGAAAGGAAGCAAGCAUAAUCAAAUAAAAAAUCAAACCAUAAGUGAAUCCUUAAAAUAAAUAAGGUUAACUUCAUAAAAACUUGAAUGAAAUUAGAAAUAUGUACCUUCGUAGUCAAACACAUGAUGAUUGUGAGAAAUAUGUACCUUCAUAAAGAUGCAUCUCUGACUUUGAGAGUUGAGAAACUCAGCCUCCAUGUCGCCGGAGAGUGAUUUGAAGUUGGUAAAUGAGUCUUUGCCACACAACCGUUGUGCGGUGACAUCUUAAUCUCUUGCAGUUUCUGUUUCAGAUCCUGUUGUCGAUUUUAGCAGUGGGAGAUAGAAGAGAGAAAAGAUUGAAGGAAGCCGGAAAAAGAUUGCAAAUAGAGAAAUGAAAUUUUGAUUUUAGGGGGAAUUGGAAAUUUGAAAGAGAGUAAAAAAUUUCAAAUUGUUAUAUAUUGGAGAGACUCAGAGAGAGAUUGCAGUGAGAGUGAUGAUAAAAGCCAUAAAAGGGGCUGAUCACUCACGAAUUUGGGAUUAGAUUUUCUGUGUUUAUUUCUUACAGUAAAUAAUUUUGCCAAACUGAUACAAAGUAGCUUUGACAGUCAUGUUCACAUGUGAUGGAUUUUUUUGUUUUUUC
rnacentral:lncRNA from 1 species